CACGCAUUUCAUCAACGGUGUGGCAAAUCCCGCAGCCUAUAGAGCGACACAAUCCGACCUCCAAGAGAUGAUGGUCUUCAGCUCCUGCUCUUGUAAGAGAUGCCAGUGACCAGAUGGAGCACUAAAGAAGAGCCAAUAAUAUCUGAACUUACGGACCUUUGAUUGUGGAAUUGUAAAAGCAGGCAGCAGUGCUAGCCACACCAGGGAAGAAACAUUUCAAGCUCCUUUUGUUAGUUUAUACCGAGGAUCCGUUCAGCAGUGUCUAAAUGCCAGCUAGCAGACCAGAGUCAGAGGACUUUCAGCAAUCUCAUUAUAAACCUGCUGUGGAGAAAUUUAUGAGACUGCUAUAAAACUUCACUCAAGGCUGAUCAGUGCCAAAGAACAUUCCUUUUCCACUUAAAAAUAACGUGUGGCUGCUGUUUAUAAAUGAUAGGGUUACAAAAGUGGAGAGGGAGAGGCGGAUUUUCAAAGGCAUAAAUUGGGGUUGGACACCCAUUCUCUCUUUCUUGGAAUAUCGGUCAAUAAAUUCCAAACAAAAAAGUUGCAGUUAAACCAUCGGCCAGAUCAAACUCCUGAUUAAAGCCAGCCCCGCUCCUCCUGUCACGUCUGAUGGCCUUUCGCUCAGAAAUGCAAACCAAUUUUCCAAGGGAGGAAAGGACCUGUUACAAACGUGAGUUACAAAUAAGUAAUACAGUGGGGAAAACUAUGAAAACUACCUUAGAAGAACAUACAUAUUUAAGUGAAAAAGGGGAAUCAGUGCCUGCAAAAAAUGUUACAAAAGAAUCUUCCAAAAGAAUCUGAGCCUCUGUGUAAAUACGGAAAAUAUCAUCUAACUGUUGUGAAGUCCAGAAUGUAUUAACGUCGCAUCCCAUGAUGUCAAUGCUGCUUUAGUACAAUUUUGCAGAGGCAUCGGAACUACUUUGCUGAAAUAAAGAAGAUAAACAGUGAUUCCUGAGCCUGACGCAGAAAUAGCAGUAUGAAGACAGUAAAGAAAAUAACUUCAGUGAAAGAAGAGAAUUGGGAAGAAAAAUCCACUGGAGCUAAAAUUGAAGAAAUAGGGAAGAAAAACCAUAAACUACAGCAUACCUUCAAAACAUUUGCACAGUUUCCUAUAUUUCGUCUGACUUCAGGUGUAUGAUGAAAGCUGGUUCCCAGCGCUUGCUCUGGGUCUCCGAGGAUGAAGACGGCCGAUCCCCGGUGCUGUAUCCUGAAGAGAGACGUAGCAAAGGAAUCAAAGCAGCUAAAAGAAUCGUCUUUCCCCCACCGAUGUGUCCAGCCACCACCUGUUUUGGAGGCGCUUUCCUGGGAGGUGAGAGAUGCACGACGGAGAACUGUGUUUCCUCCGAUUUUUUGAACGUUGCUUUAGCGCGUAGGCUCUGAGCAAGGGGCUUUAGCAAUGGCAUCACAGCCGUUCCGAAAACAAGUGAUUGCUACCAAUCCUUUUUGUUGUGAGUCCCGUCCUUUGAAACAUUCAAGGCAAAAUUUAAGAACAUUGAACGGAGAUCUUUGGGGGAUUUACUGGAAGAGCAAGUGUUUUGUGGCUUUUAAGCAGGCUGAACAUAAAUGUCGAGUAGUGAAAAAAUUUUUUUCAGAACUGGGACAUAUGUAAGAAACUUUAAGAUCAAAAACUUCUUUAGAAUGCAGUUUAAUUAAGCUGCGUUAUAGGAUAGAUUUUGAGUGGAUUUCAAUGCUUGCCAUUUUGGACUUCGACUGUUGGAAAACUCCAGCCAAGUCUGAUUCAGACGCCUGCCUUCCUCGAGUUAGCGAUACCCUUCCUGCAGGUGUAGUAAGUGUUGGUAAAUUUUCUUUGUGACAUCACAUACGGACUGCAGAAUAUCUUCGUCCUGAUGUAAAACGUGUUUAACGAGUGCAGUAUCUCAAUAUCUCUGUUUUCUGGUACGGAGCACCUUCUCAGAUGACACUUUUCAGCGAAGCCGAAGCUGUAUCCUUCAUAAUGAAGCCACGAAAUUAGUUCACUCCUCUCUUGUUCAUGUGCCACUUUUUUAUUGGAUUUUUGUGUAGACGACUACAAUCGCUAAUCAGGCACUCUUCAUUUGAGCAAUUUUACACUUCUCUAAUUAUGAAUGUAUUGACCUAUGCAUACGUAACAGUGUUUAAAAUGCUGGAGGUCAUCUUUGAAUGCAUUUUAAUGCCAUAAUUGCAAAAUCUGCAUGAGUGGUUUCACUUUCUAGAAAGAAGGCCCACAAGGCAUAACUGUUAUGAAGAAUUUCCAAAUUAUAUUCAGUUAUUUUCUGUUCACACAUUUGACAUUUUGUGGAUUUUUUUGUUUCAUACUGUACAACCUUUUAAAAAAUAUUCGCACUUUCAGCGAUUGUUCCGAUAAAACACCAAAAUGGCUUUUAGUACUGUCUUUCACUAUUUUUUAUUUUCAUCUCGCCAUCGUUAUCUCAUUUCUCAUUACCUUCUAGUCUGACACUACAUAAUAGGUCUUUAGGAGAAAGAGUGCUGGCCUUCAAGUAGGUAUGAGACCAUUUUUAUUCCUAAUAUUUAUCUCUGUAAGAGCGUAUCCACUGUAUAGACGGUGAUAGUACAUGCGCAUAGCGCGUUAUUAGUUAUAUAUAUCUGGCAAUUCAUAGUGCAUGUGCCCUACCAGUGUCUCUGUGAUGUUCUGUUUCUGUAUAACACCAUAGAUAACCUGCGGGAGCAGUACUGCAGUCGCAAAUUUAUGGUCCCAACAUAGAGGCUCUGAAGCGAUUACACUGAUAGGUCUUUGUUUUAAUAAUGUGAAAAUUUAUCUUCUACAUGUUGAGAGCAGAAGCUCAACAGUCGUUAUUCUAAUAGCUUUUCUGAUGAGUUGAUAUUGUAUAAAAGAAAGGUGUUAGGUCUUUGGUUUAAUGUUUGCAUUAGAGGAUAUACUACAUUCAACAAGGGUUUAGUGUGUAUCGGUGAAAUAUUUUCAUGCCUUGAAAGGACCAGCAUCACAUUCCGUGACGGUUACUCAUCUCUGGAAAUAUUUCAGUUUUGUUAUUAGAAACAAUGAGGGAGUUCUUACGACCACAAAAAUUAAUUUGGAUUUAACUCUUGUUUCCCUUUA